ACCCAGUGGCCUUAUCCGGUCUUGAUUAAUUCAUAAAAAAAACGUAAGGUUGUUUUAUAUAUAUAAAACAACCUUACGUUUUUUUUAUAAUAUAAUUUUCUUUUUUUUUAUAUAAUAUCAUUUUCCUCAAAAGGUUUCGAUUAGAAAAGGAUGACAGGUGCAUCAUAUUGGAGGUAAUGUUUACUUACUGCUAAAAAAAUUUCUGGCUAUAUUAGCCAAUAAACAUGGCACAACACCUCCCUUUAUCCUUGCACUAUUGGACUUAUUGUUGCCAUUUGUACAGGCAAUAGUGUAGUCAGUGUGUUGUCUUUACUAUGCUUGAUUUUGCCUGACCUGUAUUUUACAGUUACCAACAUGUGUGCUUUCUGUAAUCCUAAAUGAAGUGGUACUACAGGAAGGAGAUAAGGCAUACUUAAGAUUGGCUCUUGUGUGUCCACUGACUCCUUCAGGAGACGGGCACAUUUUCAGUGGCUUGACAGUAAGUGUUUAAAUAAAGGGUGCUGUGGUAUACAAUACUUGAGUACCUCACGUGUGUUUUCACUAACCUUAUGGAAAUGUUCACUUUUGAUUGAUAAUUUGUUUUUCACAGGUGUCGCUACAUGGAGCAGGUUUUCUGAGUCCUAAAGAAAAUAAUUCUACACCAUGUACUCCGUGGACACCUGUCGUGAAUGUGGAAUGCUUUUCAAAAACUGCACACCUGGUAAACAUCUUAACACUGGAUGGAUUUGAAUCUAUGUCAUUAUACUCAGUAUUGAUGUCAUAACUACGCUUAGACCACAUCCUGAGUCUAGUGGUCACUGGUCAGUAUAAUCAUCAUUCUGUUUUUUCUUUUUCUUUUACAGGAUAUGUUAGAACAGGACAAAGGUGUGUACUUGAAGCAGUUUACUCAGAAGACCCACAUCCAGGUUACUGCGAUCACUUUUGCCGCCAAAUGCAAUAGUGAGAACGGACACGUAUACUAACUGUUGGCAGACAACCCUGAGCCAGCUGGGUGUUUUUCAAGCUGCAGGCCCCCGUGAAAAUUUGUGGCUGGAAACUUGGGAUUGAAUUUUGAAUUCUCCAGUGUUAUUACAGACUGUUAAUUAAUUGGUUAUGACAAAAAAGAGAUGUCAUAUGUUUAAACAACCUUUGGGUGAACUUUUUGUAUAAUUUAAAAAAUGUUAAAACUAACAUCUAUUGAGAGUUUACUUUAUGCUUUUUUGGUUUUAAUAACAUCCUGUUCAAUGUGGAAUAAAAUUCAAAUCCUCUGAAUAUUGAGUCCAUUUCUGAACACUGGGGAGAUCGUGUGUACAACUGGUGAUCCGGUUUAUUGAAUGCAUUGCACCAAUAUGAUUUCUACCCAGUGCUGUACAUUUAUCAUUUGUUAAUAUUAUAAUACAGACAGUCUGACAUUUCCAUACCCACAGGAUUAAAGGGCCUACAUCUACGUACAGAUACUGAUCAGCAUAAAGUCCUUUGGAAUCACAUGUAAACUGCAGUAGAGGAUUUUUCUUUCAGUGCUUCGACCCAGAGAGAGCCUUCUAGUCCUCUUGUGACCAGCCCACUAUGUGAUAGUACUGUCACAUAGUACAUAACUUACAUCCACUUAUUAAGACCAAGAAUAAUUAGAUUGUUGAAUUGUUACAUUGUCGUGUG
ensembl:lncRNA